rnacentral:rRNA from 1 species
UACGGAGGAUGCAAGCGUUGUCCGGAAUGAUUGGGCGUAAAGCGUCCGCAGGUGGCUGUGUAAGUCUGCUGUCAAAGAGCAAAGCUCAACUUUGUAAAGGCAGUGGAAACUACACGGCUAGAGUGCGUUCGGGGCAGAGGGAAUUCCUGGUGUAGCGGUGAAAUGCGUAGAGAUCAGGAAGAACACCGGUGGCGAAGGCGCUCUGCUAGGCCGCAACUGACACUGAGGGACGAAAGCUAGGGGAGCGAAUGGG